AGUGAACGCUGGCGGUAGGCCUAACACAUGCAAGCCGAACGGCAGCACAGUAAGAGCUUGCUCUUACGGGUGGCGAGUGGCGGACGGGUGAGGAAUACAUCGGAAUCUACUUUUUCGUGGGGGAUAACGUAGGGAAACUUACGCUAAUACCGCAUACGACCUACGGGUGAAGGCAGGGGAUCUUCGGACCUUGCGCGAUUGAAUGAGCCGAUGUCGGAUUAGCUAGUUGGCGGGGUAAAGGCCCACCAAGGCGACGAUCCGUAGCUGGUCUGAGAGGAUGAUCAGCCACACUGGAACUGAGACACGGUCCAGACGCCUACGGGAGGCAGCAGUGGGGAAUAUUGGACAAUGGGCGCAAGCCUGAUCCAGCCAUACCGCGUGGGUGAAGAAGGCCUUCGGGUUGUAAAGCCCUUUUGUUGGGAAAGAAAAGCAGCAGGUUAAUACCCCGCUGUUCUGACGGUACCCAAAGAAUAAGCACCGGCUAACUUCGUGC
rnacentral:rRNA from 1 species